rnacentral:rRNA from 1 species
UACGAAGGGGCUAGCGUUGCUCGGAAUCACUGGGCGUAAAGGGUGCGUAGGCGGGUCUUUUAAGUCAGGGGUGAAAUCCUGGAGCUCAACUCCAGAACUGCCUUUGAUACUGAAGAUCUUGAGUUCGGGAGAGGUGAGUGGAACUGCGAGUGUAGAGGUGAAAUUCGUAGAUAUUCGCAAGAACACCAGUGGCGAAGGCGCUCACUGGCCCGAUACUGACGCUGAGGCACGAAAGCGUGGGGAGCAAACAGG